CAGGGAGCAACGCUGUUCAUGCAAAGCUGGAAACCGAUUAUGAUGAUGUCAUCCCCAAGCUCACCUGCUGUGGAUUGUAGGAAACUAAAGGGAUGAAGGCCUCUGGCUCUGUCGCCAUGGCACAUUCAUCAAUGAGUAUCUGCCGGAAAUCCAUGACCUCCCGGAUCUCGGGUUUCAGUGCUGAAGCACAGAUCUUACCUGAGCUUCUCGUUCGGUUUUUCAUCACGGAGGGAUCUGCGGCAAAGCUUCAGGUCACUGCCCAGAUAUUUAUAUUCACG